AACGAACGCUGGCGGCAUGCCUAACACAUGCAAGUCGAACGAGACCUUCGGGUCUAGUGGCGCACGGGUGCGUAACGCGUGGGAACCUGCCCUUAGGUUCGGAAUAACUCCCCGAAAGGGGUGCUAAUACCGGAUAAUGUCUUCGGACCAAAGAUUUAUCGCCUUUGGAUGGGCCCGCGUUGGAUUAGCUAGUUGGUAGGGUAAAAGCCUACCAAGGCGACGAUACAUAGCUGGUCUGAGAGGAUGAUCAGCCACACUGGGACUGAGACACGGCCCAGACUCCUACGGGAGGCAGCAGUGGGGAAUAUUAGACAAUGGGCGAAAGCCUGAUCCAGCAAUGCCGCGUGAGUGAUGAAGGCCUUAGGGUUGUAAAGCUCUUUUACCCGGGAUGAUAAUGACAGUACCGGGAGAAUAAGCUCCGGCUAACUCCGUG
rnacentral:rRNA from 1 species